AUUGAACGCUGGCGGCAGGCCUAACACAUGCAAGUCGAGCGGAUGAAGGGAGCUUGCUCCUGGAUUCAGCGGCGGACGGGCGAGUAAUGCCUAGGAAUCUGCCUGGUAGUGGGGGAUAACGUCCGGAAACGGGCGCUAAUACCGCAUACGUCCUGAGGGAGAAAGUGGGGGAUCUUCGGACCUCACGCUAUCAGAUGAGCCUAGGUCGGAUUAGCUAGUUGGUGGGGUAAAGGCCUACCAAGGCGACGAUCCGUAACUGGUCUGAGAGGAUGAUCAGUCACACGGGAACUGAGACACGGUCCAGACUCCUACGGGAGGCAGCAGUGGGGAAUAUUGGACAAUGGGCGAAAGCCUGAUCCAGCCAUGCCGCGUGUGUGAAGAAGGUCUUCGGAUUGUAAAGCACUUUAAGUUGGGAGGAAGGGCAGUAAGUUAAUACCUUGCUGUUUUGACGUUACCAACAGAAUAAGCACCGGCUAACUUCGUG
rnacentral:rRNA from 1 species